rnacentral:rRNA from 1 species
AUUGAACGCUGGCGGCAGGCCUAACACAUGCAAGUCGAGCGGAUGAAGGGAGCUUGCUCCUGGAUUCAGCGGCGGACGGGUGAGUAAUGCCUAGGAAUCUGCCUGGUAGUGGGGGAUAACGUCCGGAAACGGGCGCUAAUACCGCAUACGUCCUGAGGGAGAAAGUGGGGGAUCUUCGGACCUCACGCUAUCAGAUGAGCCUAGGUCGGAUUAGCUAGUUGGUGGGGUAAAGGCCUACCAAGGCGACGAUCCGUAACUGGUCUGAGAGGAUGAUCAGUCACACUGGAACUGAGACACGGUCCAGACUCCUACGAGAGGCAGCAGUGGGGAAUAUUGGACAAUGGGCGAAAGCAUGAUCCAGCCAUGCCGCGUGUGUGAAGAAGGUCUUCGGAUUGUAAAGCACUUUAAGUUGGGAGGAAGGGCAGUAAGUUAAUACCUUGCUGUUUUGACGUUACCAACAGAAUAAGCACCGGCUAACUUCGUG